UGGGGAAUUUUAGACAAUGGGGCGAAANCCUGAUCCAGCAAUGCCGCGUGUGUGAAGAAGGCCUUCGGGUUGUAAAGCACUUUUGUCCGGAAAGAAAUCCUUGGCUCUAAUACAGUCGGGGGGAUGACGGUACCGGAAGAAUAAGCACCGGCUAACUACGUGCCAGCAGCCGCGGUAAUACNUAGGGUGCAAGCGUUAAUCGGAAUUACUGGGCGUAAAGCGUGCGCAGGCGGUUUGCUAAGACCGAUGUGAAAUCCCCGGGCUCAACCUGGGAACUGCAUUGGUGACUGGCAGGCUAGAGUAUGGCAGAGGGGGGUAGAAUUCCACGUGUAGCAGUGAAAUGCGUAGAGAUGUGGAGGAAUACCGAUGGCGAAGGCAGCCCCCUGGGCCAAUACUGACGCUCAUGCACGAAAGCGUGGGGAGCAAACAGGAUUCAGAUACCCUGGUAGUCCAGCGCCCUAAACGAUGUCAACUAGUUGUUGGGGAUUCAUUCCUUAGUAAGUAGCUAACGCGUGAGUUGACCGCCUGGGGAUACGGUCGCAAGAUU
rnacentral:rRNA from 1 species